rnacentral:rRNA from 1 species
AUGCAAGGAACAGGAUUUUUGAUAGGCUCCAAAGACAGAAGACGUCUUAUCUUGACAUGCUACCAUGUCGUAGCGGGCAGUGCUUAUAAAGCUAAAUUGCGAGAUGAAUAUUUGGUCCAAGUUUGCAUUACUGGAUAUGGUUUGUGUUCUGGCCAGAUACUACUUGCCGACGAUGAGAGAGAUGUGGCAUUAAUUGUGGUUACUACAGAUUGUGAUGGUCUUCCAAUGAUUGAACUACCUAAUUUGGAAUUAUCUGAUCGGGUUGUCAAGAAGGACAUGGAAUUAGUCAUGUUGGGUAACAUUUUCAUGCCUAAGGGUGUAAUUAAAGAACCAGGAACCUCUUACGGCAAAUCAAAGGCCAGCAUGUAUCACAAUUCUUUAGUGGGGUGUGAUAUAUUGCCGGUGUCAUAUGUAUCAACCCCCGGGACUUCGGGAGCACCUGUUUUCCUUGUUCAGAAAGGAAGUAGUCCAGAGGUAAUAGGAAUGCAUGCUGGAAGAGUGCAGGGCACUCAAUAUUGUAUUCCAAUGCCAGUGAUAGAAGAAAGUUUGCGCCAGUUGAGUACAAAGAAGGGCUUCUCAAUUCCUGAAAUGAUUGAGAAGAUCCUUUCAGCAGCGUGUCGAAUGAAGUAG